AAAUAAAAUCAAAGCCCAAUCCCAUUGCUCAAUCGUCCUCUCCGUUAGCUUCCGCAAGGUUCCAUCGCAGCGUUCACGCGCCGCCCCUUCUCCUCCUUCUCGCUCGGUGCCGCUUCUCCUUCCUCUCUCAUGCCGCGUCGCAGCUCUGUUUCUCGUCUCUGAUUUUUGUCGGCUGCCAUCCUUUCGUAUCAGAUAAGGAUUAAAAUUUGAGAGGAGAGAGCAAAGGCAUGGCCCCUAGAUUGCUAAUUCAGCGGUUAACACCAUUCUUGGUGGCACGUAUUCGAGAGAAUCAGAGGCUUCUUAGCUCUUCUGUUUCAGCUCAUCAAGAAGCAUCUUCUUUGUUGGCAUCUCCAUCUCCAUCUUCAUCUGGGCCUAUUGAUACCAUUCAAAUGACUGAUAAUUGCAUUCGGAGAAUGAAAGAAUUGCAAGCGCCAAAGGAAGAAAAGAUGCUUCGCUUGAGUGUAGAAACUGGGGGAUGUUCUGGAUUUCAAUAUGUUUUCGAUUUGGAUGACAAAACCAAUCCUGAUGAUAGGGUGUAUGAGAAGGAGGGAGUUCGAUUGGUUGUCGAUAAUAUCUCAUACGAUUUUGUAAAAGGAGCAACAAUUGAUUAUGUCGAGGAGCUGAUUCGUUCUGCUUUUGUUGUGAGUACAAAUCCAAGUGCCGUUGGUGGGUGUAGUUGUAAAAGUUCUUUCAUGGUCAAACAAUAAUCACCUCAAAGCUUCCUUCCUAUAAGGCAUAGAAGUAGUUAUCAAAACCUGAAGGACAGAGAAAUUUAUUAGGUCCUCUGAUAUGAAAAGAACGUGCCCUAAGGUCUGAAUUUAUGGACAACAAAGGUGCAAGCCAUGAUGGCAAAGCACAUGCUGCAAAACAAAAUAGUAUCACAUAAUGAAGUUACAUUAGAACUUUCACUUUCUCAUUUGGUAAAAAUGGGAACUUUAUGGUAAGCCCGUGAUAUAAAUAUUGAUAUUAUAUCAUGAAAAUGAUUUAUAUUAUCAUAAAAGAUGAUAUCAUUUCAAGCAAUAUACGCUGUUCUAGGUUAAUUUUGAAUAUUAUAAACAUAUAAUGAAUACUUGGAAGAUAUUGUGAGAUUAUUUGGAAUACCUGGUUCAAUAUGCCAUUAUUAUUACAUGUUGUAUGGACCUUCAAA